GAUGAACGCUGGCGGCGUGCCUAAUACAUGCAAGUCGAGCGAACAGACGAGGAUCUUGCUCCUCUGACGUUAGCGGCGGACGGGUGAGUAACACGUGGAUAACCUACCUAUAAGACUGGGAUAACUUCGGGAAACCGAAGCUAAUACCGGAUAAUAUAUUGAACCGCAUGGUUCAAUAGUGAAAGACGGUUUUGCUGUCACUUAUAGAUGGAUCCGCGCCGCAUUAGCUAGUUGGUAAGGUAACGGCUUACCAAGGCGACGAUGCGUAGCCGACCUGAGAGGGUGAUGGGCCACACGGGCGCUGAGACUCGGUCCCGACUCCUACGGGAGGAAGCAGUAGGGACUCUUCCGCAAUGGACGAGAGCCUGACGGAGCAACGCCGCGUGAGUGAUGAAGGUCUUCGGAUCGUAAAACUCUGUUAUUAGGGAAGAACAAAUGUGUAAGUAACUAUGCACGUCUUGACGGUACCUGAUCAGAAAGCCACGGCUGACUACGUG
rnacentral:rRNA from 1 species